UACGUAGGGGGCAAGCGUUGUCCGGAAUCAUUGGGCGUAAAGCGCGUGUAGGCGGCCCAGUAAGUCCGCUGUGAAAGCCCAGGGCUCAACCCUGGGAUGCCGGUGGAUACUGGAAGGCUUGAAUCCGGGAGAGGGAUGCGGAAUUCCAGGUGUAGCGGUGAAAUGCGUAGAUAUCUGGAGGAACACCGGUGGCGAAGGCGGCAUCCUGGACCGGUAUUGACGCUGAGGCGCGAAAGCCAGGGGAGCAAACGGG
rnacentral:rRNA from 1 species